GUAAGGUACCACCCUGUUUAUAUCUGCCGCGAGCAGUCAUACAUUUCAAUAUCCUUGUGACAGCCGUUAUACAAUUAAAAUUUCGACCUCAUGUCUCAAAGUGCCCCGGCCCCGGUAACUAAUUAACACUAGAUCAACUAAUUCGUUAAUCAAUAAAACAAAUAAAACUUUUACUAACGUUUUUGCACAGCACGUAAUGUAACACAAAUAGCUCAAUGAAUCGGCUAAGGUCAAUGUCCUUGUAUGAAGCGAUCAGCUUGCCUUCGCUGUUGAUUGCUGAUUCAAUAACUUAAUGAAAUGAUAGGGUAGUGGAAGAGCAAUGAAAAUCAAUCCUCUAGAAAUAGAGGUUAGAGCGUACCUAUAUGCUAUUAAAUAAAUAUUUUCUAGGAAGGGAUGACCUCUGUUCUGGAGUUACGAUGGUUAACCGAAUGUGUGUUACCAUCACAAGCAAAUUGGUUUUGCAAAUCGCAAAGCGCAUAAGAUUCGAUUGACGAGAAUUUUAGUUUUAACGCCCCAUCUUUUGUUUAAAGUCACUUAGGAACAUGGUUUAUUGGUAACAUUUUCAUAACAAGGUGACACUAAACACCAUACAAAGCUUGCAUAAUAUGUUCCGUAAUGGCAUACGCAAGUAUAGUUUUCGCUCACGGGACCCGCAAGUACAUAAACUCUCUACGUUAUCCAAUCCAGUUUCUGCAAGAUAGCCGGAACACCGUGGUAUAUGAGGAGGUUCUUCACGGUGACUUCCAAUUAGAACCGAUACGUACGUAUCUGAAGACAGCGUCAGAACGCUUCUUUGAAAAAGCGGCGCGUCACGAUAACCCUCUCAUUGUGGCCGUCCCUAACUACAUAUCCAACCCAGAUGAUGGGGCAACGCAAAGUCGAUGUAGUCCUAAACGUGUCUUAUAGGAUCCUCCCGAUCCACUCUCGGUGCUUUUAGGCUCUCCAUUUACUGGUCACCGUUUUCGCCGGAUCUUCUCAGUGGGUCGCGAUUCCGAUCCGGUGAAAGAUUCGACGAAGCACUGCUUUGGCUAAAGCUAGUGUUAGAAAUUUACUCAGGUUGAGCCCGUGAGCUCACCUAUCCGUCCGAGUGGAAUAGCCUCUUCGGCUACCAGCGACUAGGUUGAGGAAAAGAAAAAGGUGAAAUUCCUGGAAAGAGCUGGGGAUGCCUAACACGAAAUCGUUUGGGCAACUGUGACCUCUUGCUCCGUCUUGCCUGAAUAACAAUACCAGCCAUCGAUGGUCAGUACGUCUUCUUCAAAAAAGCCAAAUUGCUCAACACAUUACCCAGGUAGGUCACGGGUGCCCUACGUAGCGCACUGAAGUAAUAAUGUCGAUUUCUGUUACUAAUCGUCUGGAUUGCCUAACUAGGCCGUUUUAGGUAUCUUAGAAACAGAUUAUUUCUCAGUAUCUUCAGAUUCGCC